rnacentral:lncRNA from 1 species
CUUAAACGUAACUCCCCUAGAAACAAAUGGAUACGCUAUAUGAGUGUGGAUUACUCCUGUUCUGACCAGCAGCUUCCACACCAACAUCCCAGGGACAACUGGCAGAGUUAUACCAAGUAUUACCUGACCACUGUUGACUACUGGAAAUCAACAGCCUUCACUACAGUCUCGCAUAGAGGGGUGGCAGUGAAGAAAAGUGGCAGCAGCCAUGCUACCCACGCCUG